GUAGAGAAAAAGUGAAGUGCUGGGUAAAGUCCAAAAGCAAAACUGUGCGGGCUAAGUUUCAAAGCGGACAAUAUCAUACCAUUGUGUCAUCUCCAAUUGAAGACGAAAUUGACUGAAACUCAUCUCACCGUGGCGGUCUGCUAUUGGGGUUACGCAAAUCCAGGGUUUAGGAAUGCCGCCUCAAUCAUCAGUACCUAUAUACAUGCUACUACCUGGAUCCCGCCUUUACGCUAGCUUGCCGGCCAGCUUGUCCAAAGCUGAGGAUUCUGUGGAUGCCGCAUGCGGUUGCGAAUCAAAAGGCUGCAUGAGGAGGUAUUGCUGUUAGAGACUCUAGUGGAAGCAUUUUGGUGGCAGCAACUAGGUACUUGGAGCAUAUAACAGAAGUUCUGUUUGCUUUAGGUACUUUGAUUCUUUUUUUUUUUUUUUUGAAUCAAAGGCAUGUUAUCCCAACGUAGUACAAAAUGUAAUUUACUAGGUUUCCUAUGUAAUUUCAUCCAUAAUUUUACAUGUUUCUGCGUUAUCCUUAAAUAAAUACUGCACCAAUUUGAUAAUUCUACACACCUCAUCUUC